CAGGCGAGACGACCCGCUGAAUUUAAGCUUAUAAAUAAGCGGGGGAAAAAAAACCAACAGGAUUC
rnacentral:rRNA from 1 species